CCCCUAGCCAGUUCACCAGUAGCUCCUAUAACAGCAAUACAGAGAGAAGUUGCUCUACCACCCUCGAUGGAGAAAUUAUAGGAAUGUGCUUGCGUCAAAGAUGAAGGAGACUCCACAGAAGCAGCACUUGGCACAUUUAUCUUCAGGACUUCUUCAGAAACUUGUCCAGCAUGUGUUGAAGUUGUUUCCAAAUGAUUUGUUAAGUGAU
rnacentral:misc_RNA from 1 species